AUCCCGGGGAUGUUAGACACAUUAUAUCAUUACAGUGUAAACAAAGAAAGGUUCGUUCUAUAACUUGACACGACGCGACUGGUUUUCCCCCAAUAAUGCUAUUUGAUAUUUGAAAAAAAUCCAGUAGCAAGCACACCUAUAUGCCCUAUUUCCAGUUUCAGUCGUCUGCUAUACUAAGAAGAUGAGUCUAGAAUGGGCAAAGAAUUUGUGUGGCAUGUCCUUGACGGACCAACAGAUGGAAAAAGUUCCACAUACAACCACUGAGUUGGGCGUACAUGUUACAAUAAAAACUGUCCAAGCCUUUGGUUUACUUGGAACAGUUUUGGUAGGCCCUGUUGCUGCUAUUGUGAAAAAAGAAACCAGAAACAUGCGAGGAAUCAAGCAGAAAAUGACCAGAGCAGGUCGCGGGGGUAUAAUUCUUGGACUUGUCACGGGACCUCUCAUGACAUUUUUGAAAGUUAAAGAUGAAGACGAAUAUAAGAUUUGGGAUAGGUGUUACCGUUUGCGACAUAACCGAGGACAGGUCAAAGUUGAUCAGGGUUCUAUUGUUGGAGCCGUUGGUGGCGCUGGGAUAUGUGCACUUACUGGAAGUGGUGCUCUUUUUGGAGGACUUGUUGGGAUGAGUUCUGGCAUAAUAGCUAUGGCCAUUUAUAACAACGCCAUCGUUAAGAAAAACUAGCAUUUGUAAUAUAGAUAUCUUAUGUUUGAUGAAUGUUAUCAAAAUGUAGUGUCGUAGUUUUACUAAGGGAUUAUACCACGUGUUCAUUGUUAUUCGUGAAUAGACUCUGUGCUAUUGAUAUUGUCUUUUAGUACUAGUAUUAUUACAUCAACAAUAUGAAAAGGUAAAUCUUAUUACACCAUUUCCAAUAUUAUUCCUUUUAUAACAAGGCAAAUUUUAUUACACAACUGAUUUAUAAUGGGACUACAUUAUAGCUGUGCAAAAUUUGUGUGGAAAUUCGAAGUGAACAUUUGUCGAUGUCAUGCAGAAUCUUCCGAUCUUUACAAUAGAAAGACUUAGAAUUCAAUUGUCCGUGAAUCUUUAUCCAGAAUUUAUACAAUCCAUGUUAUUCAAUGAUCUUCAAUGCAUAGUAUUUGUAACACUAUUUGGGUUGACUAAAUAUAAAUGUGUGUUGGUCCCGAUUUUUUUUGGAGCAAAUCUCGUAGCGUUAUGACUUGAAACAUUGAUGCUAUAAGAUGUACGGAAACGACAGUCAUUUAUAAAUUUAUAAAUGGCGAUAUGUUUUUGUACACAGUAUAUAUAAAUUUUGUACAAAACGGAGUCGAAAACAAUGGCAUCACUAGUGAGAUAAAAACCGGUGAAUGUAUAUUGAUAUCAUUUUAUACUAACCUAAUUAAUACCCUAUAUAGACCCUGUAAUGAACCCCGAGUCUAGUCCGAGAUUGCUCUGGCGUCUGACGGCCUUUUGUCAGAUGUUUGUGGACUUCAGGUAGCAACACACAGUUAGGAAUGUAGUUUCGCAUUUUGGCCCUGGUGGAUUUUUCAAAUAUGAAAGUUAUUGUGCAAUAAAAUUCAUUUUUAGACAGCUGAUGACUAAUUUGGCCUUCAAAGUGGGUUAAUAAGAACUUCAAGAUUAUAUUUUUACAUGUUUUAUGGGCUAUUUUCUGAUUGACUGUCCGUAUUUUCAUAGCCAGACCGGCCAUAGGUCCAGAAAUUAUUGUAAUGUUUAAACACUUUUUUCACACGAACUUUUUGACGCAAUUUUACAAAAAAAAAAGAGACGAAAGACAUGAUUUUUAUUUAAUCUCUUGAUAGAUUUAUGUAAACAGUUUCAGAAUAGGUAUCACUCCAAGGGAUUGAAACUCUACUUUUGGCCAAAUUUUGGGGAAAUAUGUGACAUCUUUACCCCCUUUUUGCAAUAUUUUAUAGCAAUUAAAUGCAGAUUGUUGCCAUGGAUACACCAAAAAGAAACUUUAUUUAAUCAUUUUAACUACCAAAAAAUCAACUAACCACUAUUUUUAAUACUGGAAAUCAAAUCUUUGGAAGAUACUGAUUACAUGCAUAUGCACAUAUAUGACUCAAACAGAAGGCUUAAUUUGUAAGAAAGCAAGGAAAAGGGGAUGGUAAAAUUUAUUCGAGGGUAUUUUUUUUCCUCUUGAACUGUAUAUUGCCACCCAGGCUAACCCCGUAAGACGUCACAUCAAUCUCGAACUGUCCCGAGAAAGACCCGUUUUUAUAAUCAAUUGAGACGAGAGACGUAUAAUAUAUGCUGUUGAGACAAAUAAGUUUUUUUUUAUUUUUGAGAAAAGAAGAACUAUAUUACCACAGAAUAUGAUGUGCUACAUAUUACAUAAAGACACACACUUAGGCUACACUUUGAAGAUUAAGGCAAAUCUUGACAGAAAACAAUGAAAAUGGUCUGACUCCUUGAAUUUUUAUUCCAGUUCCAAUAAUUGAAUAGUUUGAUUUUUUAAGCGAUUUUUCAUGUCGGAUAACAAACAAAUUGUGGUAAAAAGACAAUUUGAACUGAUAAAACUUUUUCUUUUUCUGUCAAAUUAAAGAUAAUUUCACGAAAAAGGAUCACAGUCCAACCUCAGCCUGCGUUUCUAUAUAGUAAAUAUUUUUAUCACUCCAUAUUUUUUUAUACUAACAUCAGUCAAUUUAUUUUUAAUAAAAGCAUAAUACUGUUAUUUUAUCAAUCCAUAUUUUGUUUUAUAUUAAGAUCUGAUUCAGUCAAUUUAUUUUUAAUAAAAGUAUAAUACUGUUAUUUUAUCAAUCCAUAAUUUUUUUUAUAUCAAGACCGGUCAUUAAAUUUUUCAGCAAAAGCAUAAUACUGAUAAACACUUCUAUGUUGUAUGUAUAAAUGUAAAUAAUAAAUCAGGGUAACAUGUAUACAUCUACACCUAUAAAUGUGUGUGUACUAAUAUGAUAAUCAUAUUUAAAAAAAUAAAUACAUAAACAUAC